rnacentral:pre_miRNA from 1 species
UAAGGACUUGGUCCAGACCCCAUUGAAGUCAAUGGCAGUCUUUCCAUUGACUUCAGUGGGCUUUGGAUCAUGUCCAUAAAUA